CUAGUAAUCGUAGAUCAGAAUGCUACGGUGAAUACGUUCCCGGGCCUUGUACACACCGCCCGUCACACCAUGGGAGUGGGUUGCAAAAGAAGUAGGUAGCUUAACCUUCGGGAGGGCGCUUACCACUUUGUGAUUCAUGACUGGGGUGAAGUCGUAACAAGGUAACCGUAGGGGAACCUGCGGUUGGAUCACCUCCUUACCUUAAAGAA
rnacentral:rRNA from 1 species